ensembl:lncRNA
GCUCUGCUGUCAGGUCAUGUGUGCUAGUCUUUUCUACUCAAACUUUAUGUCAGUUCCUGGAGGACAGGGACCAGGUCUUACAUUCCUUCCCCCCGCCCCAACAGUGCCUAUCUGAUUCUUAGAAUCAUGGUGAUUUAUUUUUAAUAUGUAUUUUAAUUAUCCUUAAUAUUGUAUUUGCAAAAUCAGCUCUAUUUGGUUUAGAAUAAACCUUGCAAUACAACUUUGGCCAUGUCUAUGGAUUUAUUAGCAUUUCUUAUAAAUGUAAGAAAUUUGUAAUUUUGCACUGCUUUUCACCUUUAGGCCUUGCUCAUACAUAUACAAUCACACUACUAGUAUAAUACACACAUGGUUUGCUUAAUUAUAUUCUGACAAGAUACCUCUGCUUUGCCCAUGCUUACAGCACAGCCCACUAGUCAACUAUGCAAGUGUCCUGUUAUUGCACUUAACAUCAUCAUGUUUUCAGAACAUAAAAUGCCUGUUUAAUACGGUCCUACCUUCCUAUUCUAUCUCUGGCUUAGAAAAGGAGAACAGGAGCUGGCUAGCAUCUUCUAAAUAUAGCCUCUCUCUCCUCUUCCCAUCUCUGGUAGGUCUUUGCCCUGAAACCUAACACUGUCCUUGCUUUGGUUUCUUUCACUUCCUUUCAAAUCUGUUGUCUUCCUGCUUGUACUUUUUUGCUAGAAGGCAGGGCCUAUGAGAAGAGACCCCCCGCCCCCCGAUUUCGUCAGAGCUAGCAAAAGACAGGAAGUUUACACAGAGCAAAAUGAUUUGCUAGAAUUGGUUUUGACCCUUCCUUAAGCUGUUGCUUGUGUCAGAGAUGCUGCUGUCAGGAUUCUGUUGCACAAAGAGAAAGAUAAAAAUAUCUCUCUGACUCGUGCAUUUUCUCCCUUUUCCAUCCUCUUGCCAAGAACACUGGAAAUGGAUCCCAGGCCUAUUGGAGGCAUUAGGUUGUCAGUUUGAAUCCCAGUGGUCGAGAAAGAAAUGUGGGUAAUAACUAGCUGAUGGUGGAGAAGAAAGGAACUCCAGGAGCUGGCAAAGUGGAGGUCCUGGAACUUUCAAGAGCUCCAGUCUCUAUAGGAAAACCUGUGAGGGGAGAAGUCUUCGCGGUAUCACCACUUCCUGUCGACCAGGGCUCAGGCUGCCUUCCUCCGAGCACCACACAUCAAAAGUGAAGUGAGUUGUUGGUUUUUAUUUUUUCAAGUGUUCAUACUAAGUAGAGAAUCUUGCUUCAGUGUUGGUAUGGCCUUUAACAAAUGUGGCAUGUAAACCAGCACUUCUCAUACUUUAACGUGAAAAUGAAUCACCUGGACAUUUAGUUUAAAAGCAGCAGAGUUCUGUGGGUCUGGUUUGGGCCUGAGACUCUGCAUUUCUGCAGGCUUGCAGGCAACCUCAGACCUGCUGGUCCAUGGACCAUGUCUUGAGUAACAAGGCCUUAAGUCUUGUAGGCUUUUUGCUUUUCAGGAAAAGGGAUAGGGGUGGGGGCGGGUUGCUGGUGGAAUGAAGGGACUUAGCCCAGGACAUGAUCUGUGUAGAGCAUCUGAAAAGAAGAUCAGUCACCAUCCCUGCCCUGGUUGUACCUGCUUUAGCAGACUAUCUCCAGAAUUUGGGGUUUCUGUUAAACAGGUCCUAGAUGUGGGAAGCUAAGUCACCCCAAGUGAGAGAGAAUAUUGGGAUGCUCCUUACGCUUCCUGGGUCACUUUGAGCAGAGCCAGAAAUCUUUUUUUAAUUGUUGUAAUUUACAGGAUUAAGUGUCCAUAUCAUGCCUCAACCAGUAUAGCUAGUGGUCACUUUGAACAUUUCAGCUUCAGUUAAAAAUUAUGCAUACUUGAAAAAUAACUGGUGUCCCUACCGCCUACCACCUGGAGGCAAAGAUUGUAAGACAUAGGAAUCCAUUACAGGUUCUAAAGUCCAUUAGAGUAAGGGAUGUACUGAAGAGAAGCCUUCAAACCCUCCCAGGUGAUGCUCCCUGUCUUAAGUGAUUCACAUUUAUCUGAAAGCCGCUUUUAAUCCAAGAGACAACCCAGAGGCAAAAAAUGAAUAGAGAGGAAAUGUACCUAUUCUGUCCCUAGUUGAGGGGAGAAAAUAGCAGUGGGAGAAAAGAAGGGGAAUGAAAAGAGAGUGGCGGCCUGGGGUAUCCUAGCUUUGCGAAACGAAUAAAAGAAACCCCAGCCUAGAAGUCGAAUUCUUACCCACACAUACAUGAGAGUCCUUCCAAAAUGGUAGCUCAUGUCUUCCUCAGCCAGAGAAAUGUGCUAGAAACAGAAUGAGUAAAUUACAAAUUGUGUUGUUUUGAUGAAUGAACAUGCUGAAACUAUUUGUCAUUAAUUCGAGGAUUAUGCAAUGGAGUUAAAGUUCAGAGGAAUAGACAGGCCUCGUGAAGCACAGGAUGAACCCAUCAAAACCAUCCCAGAAAGGGGGGAAUUGCUCCUGUUUGAAAUAAACUUCAAAUGGCAUCUCUUUCUACUAUGGAGUAUAACCAGAGGUGAUAUUUAAAAAUUUAACAGCCUGAGUGGCACAAACAUUGACCAAUCAGAACAGAAGCUACUGUAAACAGCCCGUAUGGCAGCAAAUGCUAGGCUGUAAGAAUGUACAGGACUGAAUAUUGGCCUAAGGUAGUAUAGGUUUUAGUUAAAUAUUUCUGGAGGGAGAAAUUAUAAAGCUACAGAUGAGUUCAGGGAUAUAUAAUGGCAUUCCUACCACCAUCUGCCAAUGCUCUGGCCCCAUUUUCUCAUGGAGGACACUUCCCUCUUUUCUGUCUUAUGAAGCCCAGAGCAACCCCUCAUUCCGGCUGCAUAUCCUACAACCUGCACUAAAGAGAAUUCUCUGAAGUCACUGCAAGACUCAAAAUCCUACCCACUUCCCGAGUAGCAGAGAAGAUGCAUAUAUUCUGUUGUAAAGAGUCACAGCAGAAAAUGAAACUUGAUCACCGUUACCCUUCUAUACAAAACAUUGUCACAUACAUUGUCUCACUUGAUCUUCACAAACAUCAUGGAGUAUAGGUCAAGGGGAUUAUUAUUUUAACUUUACUUAAGAAAUUGAGGCUCUGGUUACGCAAUUUGCUAACAGGUGCACAGCUGGUUAGUAGGCAUGUGGACUUGACCCAGGCCUGAAUGCUUGAAGUUCAGGUUCAUCCUGUACUUUUUUUCAUCCCCUCAAGCAGCCUCUCAGGAUCUUUGACAACUUUUAUUGUUCUGCCCUAGAAUCUUUUUUUUAUUCAUAAUUUGAGAUCUUUGUAUGUUAAAAAGAAUUUGAUUUCUACUUCUUUUGUCAAAAUUAUUCUCAUGCUUGUCUUAAGUUUUGCCUCCAUUAAGGCCUUUACUCCACAGAAAUAAAUGUUUUAGAGCAGUGAGUCUUAAAUUUCUUCAUGCUUAAAAAUUACCUGAGGAGCUUGCUAAAACUCAGAUUCCUGGGCCCUACCUCCAGAGACUCUGACUCAGUGGGUCAGGGCUGGGGCCUGAGAAUUUGCAUUUCUAAUAAGUUUCCAGAAGAACCUAAUGCUGCUAGCCAGAGACCAUGCUUUUAGACUAUGGGCACAGCUUGAGUAUUUUAUUUUAUUUUAUUUAUCUUAUUUUCUUUUAAUUUUUUAAAAAAUUCUGUUUUUAAGUAAUCUCUACACCCAUCAUAGGGCUCAAAGUCACAAUGCCAAGAUCAAAAGUUGCAUGCUCUUAAGUGAAAUAAGUCCUGUAGAGAAAGACAGCUACCAUAUGUUUUCACUCAUAUGUGGAACAGGAGAAACUUAACAAAGGACUAUAGGGGAGGGGAAGGGGAAAAAUAGUUAAGGAGAGGGAGGCAAACCACAAGAGACUCUUAAAUACUGAGAACAAACUGAGGGUUGAUAGGGGUG